rnacentral:rRNA from 1 species
UACAUGGGGUGCAAACGUUGCUCGGAAUUAUUGGGCGUAAAGCGCGCGUAGGCGGUUACUUAAGUCGGAUGUGAAAGCCCUCGGCUUAACUGAGGAAGUGCACCCCGAAACUGAGUAGCUAGAGUACGAAAGAGGGUCGCGGAAUUCCCGGUGUAGAGGUGAAAUUCGUAGAUAUCGGGAGGAACACCGGUGGCGAAGGCGGCGACCUGGGUCGAGACUGACGCUGAGGCGCGAAAGCGUGGGGAGCAAACAGG